UUUUAUUUCUGUGCUGUUUGUGCAUUUUAAAUCUCGCUCCCCCUCCCAAAAAAAAUCCAUGAGUAAAAAAAUCAAUCUAUAUAAACAGGGAUUGUUUACUGGCAUAUAUAUACAAAAUAAAAUGUAUUGAAACAGUGUUAAAAAUAUCGGGAUACAACUAUGCUAACACUGAGCAAAAAUGUAACAUUAGCUGUUGUUUGUAAACCCUACGAACUGAAAGUAUGGUCGGAGUUAUGACUUUUUUUUUUUACCAGUGACCAGUUAUUUUAACGCCAACAUGUAGGAGUCUUGUUGUAUUUUAAAGUAAUGAGCUACAAUUUGCAGGGAUAGAAAAAAAAGGAAGUUGUAACACAUAUCACCUGAUAUUUGGUAUGUAGGUACGCGCCUUAUGGAAGAGGCAAUGAUUUUUUUUUUGUGCCGUAAUAAAACUCCUGAAAUUCCGUACUAGCUUUUGGAUUUCGGUGUGCCGCCCUAACAAUGUAAGGGAACCCCAUCUGGAAAUCUCUUUCAAAUCCUUCCACUGCAUAAUCCAUCGGAGCAACAAUAAGUAUCAAUAUUCGGCACUAGUUAAUGUAAAUAGUGUAGCUCAUUUGAGGAAGGGUAAGUUUUAUUGUUAGAUCAAUAUAUGUGUUUGUGGAACUUUGUAUGCAGUGACAAGUUUAAUGUCAAAAAGACAGAUGAAGUGAAAAAUAGGAUUCCAGAUUUUUUUACUGCAAUAAUAAUAAUGCCAUGAUUAUUUUGAUAAUAUUUCAGCCUAUAUUGCCAAUCCCUGAUGAACGCUCUAAUGAGAUAAACAAAACAAGUACUUAGCAGCACUCCUUUCUAAUUCAGCUUUAUUGCGGUUUUGAAGGUGUUUUGUUUUUCCACGCUGCAGUUUUUCUUUUUUUUUUUCAAAUCGCUUCUGAUUCUGUGAACCAAUUUAGUUCACUCAAACCUAUGUUUUUCCUUUUGCAAAAAGUGUCCGUUUUCUUUCUCUUGGCGUGUUCUCACGUCUCAUUCAACCCUUAUUAGGUUUCCCCUAAUUGUCAAACAAACUGUUGGGUCAACCUCAGUCAUAUCUGGCCGUAAAACAGCACAUUAGGCCCCGGCGAGGGAUAUAUGUGGUAUUUCAUCGGGAGACGGAGUAAUGCUGGGGUUUUAUGGUUAAGUACCAGUUCACGCCCACGCCAUUUGUUUCGCAUUAGAAGCGAAGGUUUUGUAAAUCAGAUCAAUAUGUUCGCUGAGAUGUGAUUCCAUGUCGGGAUCUCCCGAGCCGUUCGUUCCCCCAGUAUUUUUCUUAGGGGACUGGUUGUCGAUGCACACUCUUCCCCUCCUUUGCCCUUCCUUUCCACCCCCUUUUCUUUUUUUCUUCCUGUAUUUCCCACCUCUGCUAUCCCCUCCCUCCGUCUUCACCUCAAUCUAUUUCCAUUUUCUGAAUGUAGCAAUUUGUCGCGUGACACGGACGAGAUUAGGAUGGGAAGCAGUCCUGAAGAUUUCAUCGGACAUGGUCCUGCUCCCGCUGGUGUGAGGUCAUAGGACAAAAAAUGUGGGGUGGCGAUGGUGGAGGGGGGAGGAUUCGGGGAGAGGGUCAUCAGUUACCUUCGGGGAAACGAGCUGGUCUGCUGGCUGCUCCGUUGGCCCCCAGGGGUGCCUGGGAUGUAUCGGAGGAGAAGGCCCCAGAGAAGGAGCCCUGAACCAGUGUCAUUUAUUAAAAGUGACAAGUUAUUUCUAACUAUAGCUCUGUUGUUAUUGUUUUACAAUGCUGUCGUUUGGAACGGCGGCCCCUCUCUUCAAGCAUCACAAACAAGUGAUGAAUGAACCAGGCUGGUCUGGGAGUCAUUAUAUGGGGUGAUAAAGCAAAUCCAAUUGGGUCAAGUUCUCCUCUACACAGCGCUGGUGGCAUCAGCUCUCCCUGCCUCACCGCUCGUCCCUGACUGUGUAAGUGGCGCUUGUUUGUUUGUCCUAGAGAGGCAGGGUUGGGGGGGCCUAAUGCAAGCCCAGGGGCCAGCCAGGUCGGAGGCGACGGUAAACCCGAGCUGCCUGGUGUAGCUGCGCUCCCUUGCUGCCGGCUCGGCCUUGUUUGGACUGCAGCUCCGGUUUGCUUUCUUAGAGGGAAGUUGAGCCUCCGUAAUCACUGAGCCCUUCGCUCGGGUGGGGAGUGCAGCCGAGGCCAGAGGGAGUGAUGACAUAGGUCCGCAGAGGCCUGGCCCAGUCCACCCCUGCUGCUCCUCGCAUAUUUAUUUUCUCUUCCCAUUGCAUGGUUUAAGUCACACCAUAUUAUGUUCGGACCUUAUGCACGUGCGUAAGGCACUCAGAUGUGAUGAGGUGCAUCGAGUAAGCCGUGGGCUUUGUUUUUACUAAUAAAGCUAGGGAUUAUUGCCUUGCUGACCUCAGUGUAAACUUUAUUAGUCUCUUAAUCACAUACUCUAGUUAUGAAGCAGCCCUACCUGCCUUGGGAGUACUUAUACAGCCAUACAGUUCAGGUUAUUGGGGAACUGACUAAAUUGCACUCAAUUAUUAAAACCCCAGCCACACAACUUUGGAAAUUUUCUUACAUGGGUAAACUACGUAUUACUUUUUUUGAAAAAAAAAAAAAAAAGAAGCUCUGUCAAGACUUCUGCAACGAUAAUGUAAUACUUACUCCACGCCAGCAGGUGGCAAUAAUGUCGUCAACAAUUACGUCAACGCUUCAAAAAGAAGAUCAGUGACUCUGUUGCUAUAUUUAGCUAGUAAUUAGAAACUUCCACCAUCUAUUUUUCAAAAAGCAGCAACAAUUGGCAAAUCUAUCAACAUUUUUUUGGUGUUACUGAAGACUUUUGCAACUUCUGACAAGGCUUGCAUCAUCUGUACUCUUCUCAACGAACAGAAGUCCCUCCCAGUUGCACACAGAGCAGGAAAUUUUCACACGGUGUUAGUAAACUACGCAUGUGUGAAGCUGUCACUGCUAAACCUCCAAAUCCUCUAAUCUGACGUAAGAAAGUUAAUUUAUUUUCAACAAUUUUGAUUGUUUUCUGUGUCACUUCCAUUGCAUUUUUUCUCUCUCUAACAGCAACCAUAAAAAUUACGUGUAGAAUUGCGUAAAUUAGGUGACUUUCUGAGAUGCUAACUUUGGCUAAAGCAGCGCAGGGCUAAAGACUCAAAACAUUUGUUUUCUUCAACACUUUAUACUCCUAGCUAUCAGUCAUUAACUUCAGCUUGCAGUUUAGUGCAAACAGAGUCUCGGUAGAGCAAGACAUAUUUGUAGAAAAAGAGCUUAGUUCUACUCUAAGUGUAGCCUUUAGUCUGGAUAUCAUCAUUGGGGAUCCACUAUUUAAGAAUCCAGAUUGCCAAUCCACUUAGAUACACCACCAUUCAUUUUUAAACUAAUCAGAGUCCACACUUGCCAUACAAUACAAUUAUCUACCUGUGCUGCUCCAGCAGGUGGUGAUAACAAUGAUAUGACCUACAAAAAAAUAAAUAAAAUAACAUAAAGGAUGAAUAAAAUGAGGAUGCCGAAAGCAGUGCUGGAGAGUCUCUUAAAUCAGCUAUGGCUCAUGUUUUCCUUGUCAUCAUUUACCCUCUGUCCACAAGCUGUUGCAUCAGAGUUGUUAAAAGGCUCCACUUUGAAAAGUGCUUUUGAAAAUCCGUUUUGUCACAAACAGCUUAUUUUGAGUGUGGGCAGCUACGCGGACGCAGCAGAAAAUCGCAAAGUAUCUCAAAGUAUUUGUAUUAAUGUGGACAGCGCCUGAAUCACUAGGUGAGACAUUGUUUAUGUCUAGGUAAAUAGGUGCUUUGGCAUAAAUGAGCAAAACUCUUCACAAUUUUUUGCUGUUUAAAAUCUCAUGUACGCAGUUCUUCAAAAAUGUUUUAUUCAGCAUGACCACUCUGUUUUGUUUUGUUACGUUAUUGAAAUGGGUUGUCGAUUCGAAUAGAGUCAACCUGGUGGGCCAAUCUCAUUGUAACCAGUGGAGAGUGAAAGCCAUCUCCGCACUGUGGGCUCACCAGAACACACACUAAGAUUGGACAAGGGGGGCAGUGAGUGAGAGAGAGGGUGCGCUGCUCUCCAGAUGGAGAUCCCAGAUAUCGGGAAAGGGGAGGGGGUGCGGAGGGGGUAAUGUCCGGGCCAUUUUCCAGGGCUUCCAUAAUGGGAAUCUACCCCUUGCUUGCUUAUUAAGUUGUGCACACACGGCAGAGGGACAGGAGAGAUGGAGGGGAGAGGAGAUAAGGCCAGGCGAGGCGGAGGAUGGACAACCUGCUCGCGUUCACCUCUCCGUCGCAAGUGUCAAGCAGAGCCUGUCGGAGAAAUCGCAGGUCAUGUGGACAGAUGAUUGUCAAAGCUCCACCUUGAUAGAGGGCUUUUCCGUCUUUCUUGUCGCUGAGCUGCUGAGGUGAACGAUAAGAUUUGUUUUUGUUUUCCGCCGGAGAGGGAGAAAGUAUGACGUUCCAGUCAGGAAGGUCGCCUCCGGGGGGUCACCGGGUCGCGGCCCUCACGGUACCUGAGCACCCUCACACGGCUAAUCCAUUUCUCAGCCUUGCCGAAACGACGAUGGGGUGUGGAGUGGAGUAAAGGGGCAAAGGGGGGGUCGGCUCGAGGAGAAUGAUCUAUCAGCGGCAGCAGCAGACAUGCAGACAGCAAGGCAGCUACUACAGCUAAACAGAGUGAGACAGAUAGGCCAAAGUCUCUCAUACGUAACACUGGCAGCUUUAAGACGACAGCGCUGAGUGUUAUGGAUGCUUGACAUUGACCUCCGAUGCACAGAUGGUGUAUUUAUCAAGGUUGUAGGACAAUGGUGUAUUUGUUUGUAAAUUAUUUAGUUCGGCGGGCGAAAUGCUGCCUCUCUUCACAUAAAAAAGAAAAAAAAAACUUGCCACUUCUGUAAGAUAAGAACAAUCUGUUUCUGUUCUCCCCUUUUUGUGCCUCUUGUCAGCUGUUUUCUACACGGCUUAGAAUUUAGGUGAUCAUAUUUCCAACACUGUCAGUUCUAUCAAGUCAAAUCUGCUUUAAAAGGCAGAGGAAAAAAGCUCUGCAGCGUACAUUUUUCUCUAAGAGAAAUAUUUGUGUAAAGAUAGGCCUGUCAUUCCGUGAAACAACAUUCAUGAUUCUUUUAUUGGUGCUCUGCCAUCGCGCCCCCCCUCUCUUCUUCCUCUCUUCCCUCUGUGGAAAAAAGGGCUAGUCUACAAAGUGGCUUUUUGUCGUCUGAGAGAAGUAAACUUCAUCAGGUCGACGGUGAGGUGUGCUUCACAUGUCACUCAGUUGAGCUCUUUCCUAAUGAAAUGCUGCAUACAGAUUUCUGCCUGCGGGCUCAGGGGGAUAAGACCGUGGUAACAGAAUGAAACAAACCCCUUCCCAUUCCCUUCACUCACACACACACACACACACACACACGCACGCACACAUCUUUCUGGAGAGCAUCCAUGUGAAGAGAUCCAAAUCUGCAAUUUAUUCAAAUAUUGAUAUUUCUACUUGUCAGGAGAAAGGUGCCUUGAAAUUUCCUCUGAGUACUCCUGUCAAAAAAAUAGCAGGAAAUAUGUCAGAUAAUUCAUAAAUGGAGUUCAGCGCUGCAAAGUCAGUUGGGAACAGCGAAAAAAUAUAUAUAUGCUUGUCAAUGAAGAAUAGGAGCAAUAUUCCAGAGCCUGCUGCUCAUUCUUCCAUCAUGUCAAGCAAACAGCUUUUGCUGGCCCAUAAGCGUUUGUUUCACAGUUUGUGUGUAUAUUUGUGUACGUCCCUGUAUAUUUGCACAUGUCCUCGUGUAUGCACAUGUGUAUGUAUAUUUAUGCAUGUGAAAGUGUGUGUGCUUUGGCAAUGUUGUGACUCCUACUUAAGAUGUGUUUGUUAUCUUUUUUCCAUCAAGACACCCCAUUUCCCGUCCCAGAGCAGCCAAUGGGAAUGUGUCCACUUUUUUUUUUUUUUUUCCUGCCGAGGUCCGUAACCGGACGCUGGCCUCCAUGUGGUUUGAAUUAGGGCCCCUGAAACUGUGAAGGACGCCUCGAAUGACGUGAGGCACUUGCAGACCCAAAUUCCAUUCUGUUGAACGGAGGAGAAGAGAACUCUCCGGAAUCCUCUGAGAUUUUUUGGCUCGGCCCCCGUGAGCGAUUAAAACAGGGCGGAAACUGAAAACUCAAUGAAUCAUGUGGCAAUGUCCCAUGAAAUCUCUCUACCCUGUCACACCCUCAUGCAAACACGGAUCAGCUUAAGUUGUGAAAAAAUACAAUUGCCUCACUCGUCGCUGAUAUCUAGUGAAUGAAAAUUUCUUCGUUUUGGUAAAAAAAAAGUGCUUUUUCUCGCUCUCUUCUCCCCCCGCCCCACCCACUUCCCUCCUGACGGAGUGGCAGUUCUGUGAUGAUGCAUUGCCUGACCACGUCGUGCCAAGGCAAGACAGAAUGGGACCUCACAUAUCUCCCGCGGUCAUGUGAUGCCAUAGUUCAUAGCUGUUGAUGAGAUGCAGUUUGGCACAGCUUGGGACCCAUCUGGGAGAUGCAGAUACGCAGACACGAGAAGUAUUUUACAGCAAUGCAUCUGCGUGCUUGAAGAGCCAUUUAGCAUAUGCUGCUAUACAGGAGAAUGUGCAAGGCCGUGGCCAGCUGCAGAUUAGACUCCAUUUCUCGAGAAUCCGACAAACCAGCUGAUACGUUCAGAGAUGUGGUAAUGCAUCGUGUUAUUUGACAUUGCGCUUUCAAUACUUUGAAAAAGUGUUUUGUCACAUAACCACAAACGUCAGCGUGUGUUUUUACAGAUAGAAAUCUGAAAAGUUCGUGACCCUUUUCAUUCACUCCCUUAUUUUAAUAGCCUCAAAUAAAAUUCAGUGCAACCGGUUGGUUUAAAAAAAGUCACAUAAUUCGUAAAUAAACUUGAAUAAAAGUCUAAAAGGGUAUUUUAGAGUAGAAUAAAAAACAAAACAAAACAAAAAAAUUAUGUCAUGGAGAACUACUUAAUUCAUCGUCCAAAAAUUGAAAAAAUAUGGCGCAACUGCCAAGACGCUAAGCGACGCAUGGUAACUUUGGAGAAGCUGCAGACGUUUAGAGCUGGGGAUGGAGAAUCUGUGGCAGUUCUGAAUUUGGCAUGCGUUGUAAUUCCCUAGUCAAAGUUCAAACCUAAAUCCAAUUUAGAGUAUGUGGUAAGAUUUUAAAUGAGAUAUUCUCAGAUGCCAUCAACCUAAUCUGACUGACUGACCUGCUUCACUAGGAAAUGGUGUGUUAAAAGCCAAGACAUACGUCAAAAGACUUGCAGCUGUGAUCGUAGUGAAAGGAGGUUGAACAGUUUAAACUCGGACGGAUUAAAUACUGUACAAAUUCAUCCUAAAACUAGAUUUUCACCGAUUUCCGUUUGUUAAAAAACCCCCAAUAUAUUUCUUUUCACAUCACAGUUAGAUGCUUAUGUUGGUUUAUCUCAACAAGAUACACUGUAAUGUGACAAAAUGUAAAAAAAAAAAAAAAAAAAAAAAACUUUCAACAAUUUGUAUGAAUUUUUCUGGACAUCUCAAUAAGUGGCACAGAAAAAUAUCGCAAAAACAAGUAAAUUCGGUCACACGACGUGUAAUUUAAAGUUUUCCUUGUAACAAGGAAAUAAAGCGCAGUAACAUUGGAGCUGCCAGCCCAGCUUGUUUUGUUUCUGUUAGCUUUAGCAGAAGUCAGAGCCCAUCCUGCUGCUCUAACUCAAGUGGCUGAUAUGUUCGGCCAUCUAAGGCAUGGCAGGCGGUUGACAGUCCAUGCAGCCUGUCUACCCACAGGACAUCUCCACACAGUGUGUCCACAGUGGGGGCCAGCGCUGUCAUCUGGGCCCACUAUGGACCACUGCUCUGCUGACAGUGAGAGGGUAAACGUUUACCACCUCAAUCCCCCAUUAACUCGGUGAAGGCACUUCGAUCCUCUGUGAAAAUAAUGAUAUUGAUUGGAAGCUUGGGCUUUACAAACAAAACGGUUGCAACUAAAAGAGGGAUGGGCCCGUGCAUUAGAAUAUGGGAUUUUCGAGGAUAAAAGAGUGUUUGGAUCUUGUUAUAUUUUUCCUCUCCUCUAUCUGCCUCCAGCCCUCCUUCCCUCCCCACCGCCACUUCGUCUUCUCUCUUUCUGCAUUUUUUUUGUGUGCCUAUGUGUCUCCCAAGAUUACCCUCCGCAAUCCCCACAAUCAAACAACAAAUGACAACAUCAUCGCUCGGGUCCUUUUCAAAAUACGACACAGAAAAUGUGCGUUGUAGCUACAUUAACUUGCAACAACCCCCCUAAUAGACCCUUGUGGGUUUUGUAUCUUCUCCCUCUUUCUUUUUCCCCCCACUUUUCCUCCUCUCUUCUCUCUGCAAGGGCUGUCACAUUUCCACCCCCCGCACCCCCUCCUCCUCACAGCGCGAGCCUCCGAGCCUCGGUGGAGAUCAGGAGCUCCCUGUCGGAGGUGCUUUGUCACGUAGCCCAGGGAGCGUGGAACUCACCCAGAGCUGUUGAACAAACACAAGCGCAGGGGCUGUCAAUAGCAGCUCCGCAAACUAAUUGCCUGUCAAAUGAACCACCCUCGUUAAGCUGCCCUCUCGCGCACCCACACUUACAUGCACGUGCGCGCGCCGGGCCCGUUUGAUUCAAAGAGUAGUGAUACCUUGUUAAAAGGAGAAGACACACGAGUGGCACUUCUCUGUUUGCCGUCUUGUUCCCCGCGAUCGUUACCUGCGCGUGCAGGGCAGUCACCGUGAGAUUGCCUUUUUGUUAUUAUUAAAGCGAACAUGGCAUCGUAUAGCAUAGCUGAUGUAAUCCAAGCUCAUCCAAGGCGCCCCGACGAUACAUCAGCCCCGUGUUGUAUUUCAGUUGUUAAACCCACUCAUUAGAUGGUAGCAGAGCUCCAUAUGCCAAAUGUUAUUGUUUUUAUGUUUGUUUUGUUUCUCUCUUUUUUUUUUUUUUUUUCUGUAGUCAUUAGGCGGUAGCAGUGGAGUGCCCAGCGCCUUGUCUGGGUGCCUGUAACAGUGCUGUCGGAUUGACACAGCUGGGGAGAGCAGCUUGAGGCUGCACGCUCAGGAAUACACAGGGGUGUUCAAAGCCCCUCUCUGAAUCCUGAUCAGAGCGCUGCCCCGGCCAACUGAUGGCCUAUUAAAUAUACAUGCGCAGAGGUCAGAGCUGGAGGUCCCGGCUUCCUCCCAGCCAUGUGCACUUAAGCGGAAGGGCUGGGCAACAAUAAAACCAACCCUUCUCUCUCUCUCUCUCUCGGUCUCUCUCUCUCUUUCCUGCGAGCUCUCCCCUGACACCCUCACCUCCAGUGUGUACGUCAAGUACAGUGCUCACCUAGCGCAAUAUUACAACCGCCUUUGUGAAAAGGCCAAAUGAUGCAUUUUUUACAUGGUUAUUAUAUAUUUAUAUUCAAUAACACCAGGACCAAGCCUCGAGUCUGUCCGUCUCCUGUUAUUUCUUUCUAUUGUCACCUUGCUCGACAAAUUGCGCGCGCGCAUGCCUUCUUGUCGUUUAGCGGGGCUCGAGACGAGAAGGUUGAAGGAAGAGCCCCUCCAUCCCCCCAUAAUGGCUGGUCAUGAUUAACAUAUUCAGAGUGACACUCUGUGUGUUCCUUCGUUAAGCCCGGUCUGUCUGACUAAUGAAGUGAAGCGGCAGUUUAUCAAUUAAUCUAGCUCUGAGCCAUUUGUGUAGGGGAUAACACUCACGCCGGGCAUCAGGGUGAUCCAGUUUGGUGCCCUUUAACCUCCACUAGCGUUGUGAGGAGUAAAAAAACCCAAAAGGGAGCGUGACAAACACUAAAGAGGAUGUAGCAGAGAAAAGCAUGUGGAUUGAUUGGUUAUUAGGAUCCUGGAAAAGCAAAAAAAAAAAAAAAAA